GGCCCAGGCGCGUGGGCGCUGCCGAGAGGCUGGGAGCCCGGGAACCGGUUCCUGGACUUGAGCGGAGCGAGAAAGAGCGCGCCGCCUGCACGACUGGACUGGAGCGGCCGGGUGCCCUGGAGGCCCCUGGGAAUUGCAGUCCUUGCGCAGGUGGAGAGUGAGCCCUUAUGAGAAAACUCAAGACUCAGAAACAAUAAAGGUUACAGAGAUGAAAUUGACAGAGCCUGAAUUUCACUUCCACCAUU
rnacentral:lncRNA from 1 species